rnacentral:tRNA from 1 species
AUUUAAAUAGUUUAUAAAAAACAUUAUAUUUUCAUUAUAAAAUUAGAAGAAAUUCUUUUAAAUA